UACGGAGGAUGCAAGCGUUAUCCGGAAUGAUUGGGCGUAAAGCGUCCGCAGGUGGCUAUGUAAGUCUGCUGUUAAAGAGUGAGGCUCAACCUCAUAAGAGCAGUGGAAACUACAUGGCUAGAGUGCGUUCGGGGCAGAGGGAAUUCCUGGUGUAGCGGUGAAAUGCGCAGAUAUCAGGAAGAACACCCGUGGCUAAGGCGGUUCUCUAGUACGGUACUGACGCUGAGACGCGAAAGCGUGGGGAGCGAACAGG
rnacentral:rRNA from 1 species